AAACAGGGUUAAGUGACUUUUCUAGGAUAACACAGCUAGUAUUUAAAGACAAUCACAGAACUACAAAGUUGAAAGAAUUCUUGGUGGUUAUCUAAUCCAAAACAUAUAUGAAUGGGAACCUCUCCAAUGAUGAUGAUGAUGAUGAUGAGGCAAUCUAAGGUUGUGAUUUGCCCUGGGUAACAGAACUAGUUCUCAGGGAAUAGUGACAGACAGGACUCAGCUGCUGCCUUGGAUGCAUGCCCAGGCUUAUGGAAGCUACGAAAAGGUCAUUCUAGGUGAAAUAAGUCAGCAGCCAGAAAAGUCAGCUUCAGUUGGGAAAGUACCCCCUAGUGGAGUAUCAUUGGCCCUCCCUAUAUUACCACUCUGUCCUCAUAUCAAAGACAUAUGUGAAUAUGGAGUAAAUUUUUCAAGAGUUACAGAUAUCUAAUACUUUGUUUAGAUUCAAGUUGUCCAAAUAUGGGGACCCCAAACACUUUUUAUUAAAUUUAAAAGAUUUAUCCAUAUUACAAAUAUAUUUUUAUGACACAGUUGGAGCUACUUGUCAUACAUUCUAGAAUAUGUAUUUCACGUACUAUAUUCAUAGUCCAAGAAGAAAAUUUGCCUAAAUAACAUUUUAUAUGGAUAAAAAUUCCUAUUUUCUCUAAUAUCUUUUCACUCUUUUCCUAUUAUUUUUCAUUGUGAAGGGCUAUCCCAAACACAAAGACUUUUGGAAAACUGACAAAUAAAGUUCUGGUCUAUGAAAAUAUCAACUAAGUAGGAGAUAGCUUCAAGGGCACCUGGCUGUUUUCCAUUGUAGUACAACUGGUACUAAUCAAUAGCUAUUCAGAAUCUAUUUUCCAUGUGCCCUAUAAGUGGAUCCAUGAACAUUUCAGGGCCCAAAUAGUAAUAAUGGAAAGGGCAAGUGUUAUUUCUAAUUCUUUUUCAGUUUAUAUUAGUUUAAAACUUGAAAAAAAAUCUUCUAAGAGUCCCAAGGACAGAAACAAACAACUGAUUGCUCCAUGCUCAAAGUCUGCAGUUCAAUGAUGAGAAAAGGGGCUUAUAAAAAAAUCAAGUGCCCUAAAUUUUACAGAGUACUGAUAGAAAAAUGGGCGUGCUGUUUUUGUUCUUGUGCUUUUAUUCUACCAUUUCAAAUUUUGAAAUCAUUAUUUGUGGAUUCAGGAAAAAAAGUGCUUUGUUUUUAAAGUAAAAGACAAGAGUUUUGGACAUCUUACUACCAUCCUACUCUGUAUUGCACUGCCAUUUUCAUAGGCUGCACCUCCCUAAAAGGGAGGGGGAACCUCAUUAAUUUCCAGAAUUUCGCUCUCCAAAUUGUAUUAGUCUUCUUCAACUGCAUUUAACUCUAAGUUUUAUGUUUUGUUAUUUUAUUCAAACUAAAACUGAGGGAAAAAUUGGCCCUCAAAUAAAACUCAUCAAGCAACCAAAACAAGUAAAAAUGUGAUCAUUUUCUUUCACCUAUGCCCCCAGAAUUCUUUAUCGAAACACCUUAAAAUAAACCAAAAGAAAGUUGCCUAUGGAAGCAUAAAAUAUUCUAUAUGAAAGGUUAUUAACCUUUAUUUGUAUCUUAGAACCUUUGGCAGUCUGGCAAAGCCUAUGAUCUGCUUCAAAGAAUGUUUUCAAAUGCAUCAAACAAAACACAUAAGAUUCCAAAAGAAACUAAUUCUAUGAAAUAGUUAUCACAAUAUUUGAAAAACCCAAGUUCAUGAAUUAGGAACUACAGCUUAGGAACCCCUUCUCUAGAAGUAAAAAUUUUGUUGCCUGUGUCGCAAGUAGAGAAUUUAUGUGACAAGUAAAUAGGGAAGGAAUUGAAGUCAAAGCUGGAAUGAGGACAGAAUCAGUUGGGACCAGAAGAAUACUGCUGCUAUGCUUUUACAGAUCCACUAGAAACACUGUUCCUUUGCAUUUACCUAAUACCAUUCUACCAAGAAGCUCAAGGCUUUAUACGAAUUAUAUUUCAUAUUUUACAUAUAAAUAUAUACCUUUGUUUACAUCUGUAAGCAUUCAAACAAUAUUUAACCUUAAUAGCUCUUUGAUAUUGGUAAAUAUUUUCUUUAUUUUGAGACCAAAUCAGCAAUUCCAUUGGUAUAUGAAAUUCCCAGUGAUCAAACUCUCUCUGCUAAUGUAACCCAGCACCUGCUCUGCGAUUUAGUAUUAGACAAUUGCCUGGAAAACUGAGACAUGAAGUGACCUUUCCAAGGUCACAGGCUGGGUCAUGUCAGAGGCAGUAAUGGAAUAUUCUGACUUUGAGGAUCACUCCCUAUACCUUAUACUAUGAUGCCACCCACAUGUCAUAAUUCUGAUUUUUACAAGAGAGGAUACUGAGGCUGCUCUAGAGUCUAAGGUCUUCACAUGAGUCCCUGGAAUCUGGAUCCAAAGUUCAAGUUUCCAUCUAUUAUUUCUUGCUGCCUAUUAAGAGGAUAUCAUCUCCAUAAGGUUAUUCUUUUAACAAAUGGUACCCGAAAGAGGUUGCAUAAUUGAAACAACUAAAAUAUGUGUACAGUGCUAUGAUUUUUUUCAUUAAACUCAAUUUACACACAUAAUCCUUGAGACAGCAGAAUACACUGUAAGCAUGAUCUGGUAUAUUGUGUUUUCCAAAUUUUGGUUAAUGAGUUAUUCUGGGAAGCACAUUUUACAGUGGUGAUUUUGUUAUUGUUGUUGGUUGUUGUUGUUGUUGUUGUUGCUGGUUUUUUUUUUUUGCCUCUCUGGAACCUGAUCCAAAUGAACAGUCCUCAUGAACGUAUAAGUUAAAAAGAAGCCAACCAUUUGUGAGCACCCUUCUAAUGAUAAUCACCAAAGCUCAAGAUUUGCUUUUAUAAAACCAAUAACCACA